GACGAACGCUGGCGGCGUGCUUAACACAUGCAAGUCGAACGGAAAGGCCCUGCUUUUGUGGGGUGCUCGAGUGGCGAACGGGUGAGUAACACGUGAGUAACCUGCCCUUGACUUUGGGAUAACUUCAGGAAACUGGGGCUAAUACCGGAUAGGAGCUCCUGCUGCAUGGUGGGGGUUGGAAAGUUUCGGCGGUUGGGGAUGGACUCGCGGCUUAUCAGCUUGUUGGUGGGGUAGUGGCUUACCAAGGCUUUGACGGGUAGCCGGCCUGAGAGGGUGACCGGCCACAUUGGGACUGAGGUACGGCCCAGACUCCUACGGGGGGCAGCAGUGGGGAAUAUUGCACAAUGGGCGGAAGCCUGAUGCAACAACGCCGCGUGCGGGAUGACGGCCUUCGGGUUGUAAACCGCUUUCGCCUGUGACGAAGCGUGAGUGACGGUAAUGGGUAAAGAAGCACCGGCUAACUACGUG
rnacentral:rRNA from 1 species